rnacentral:rRNA from 1 species
GAUGAACGCUGGCGGCGUGCCUGAUACAUGCAAGUCGAGCGAACAGACGAGGAGCUUGCUCCUCUGACGUUAGCGGCGGACGGGUGAGUAACACGUGGAUAACCUACCUAUAAGACUGGGAUAACUUCGGGAAACCGGAGCUAAUACCGGAUAAUAUAUUGAACCGCAUGGUUCAAUAGUGAAAGACGGUUUUGCUGUCACUUAUAGAUGGAUCCGCGCCGCAUUAGCUAGUUGGUAAGGUAACGGCUUACCAAGGCAACGAUGCGUAGCCGACCUGAGAGGGUGAUCAGCCACACUGGAACUGAGACACGGUCCAGACUCCUACGGGAGGCAGCAGUAGGGAAUCUUCCGCAAAGGGCGAAAGCUUGACGGAGCAACGCCGCGUGAGUGAUGAAGGUCUUCGGAUCGUAAAACUCUGUUAUUAGGGAAGAACAAAUGUGUAAGUAACUAUGCACGUCUUGACGGUACCUAAUCAGAAAGCCACGGCUAACUACGUG